rnacentral:rRNA from 1 species
GACGACGCUGGCGGCGUGGAUUAGGCAUGCAAGUCGAACGGUAGGAUCCUUUCGGGGAUCUGAGAGUGGCGAACGGGUGAGUAACACGUAGGUGAUCUACCUCAAGACGGGGACAACCCAGGGAAACUUGGGCUAAUACCGGGAUGUGAGCUAUCGCGAGAUAGUUUGAAAGGUGGCUUCGGCUGCCGCUUGAGGAUGAGCCUGCGUCCUAUUAGCUAGUUGGUGAGGUAACGGCUCACCGAGGCAGUGAUAGGUAGGCGGCCUUAACGGGUGGUCGCCCACACUGGGAUUGAGAUACGGCCCAGACUCCUACGGGAGGCAGCAGUCGAGAAUAGUCUACAAUGGUCGAAAGACUGAUAGUGCGACGCCGCGUGAACGAAGAAGCCCUUCGGGGUGUAAAGUUCUUUUAUAUGUGAGCAGUGACACCCAUAUUAAUAGUAUGGGUGUAGAGAUAUUAGCAUAUGAAUAAGCAACGGCUAACUCCGUG